AUACCUUCUCGGCCUUUUGGCUAAGAUCAAGNGUAGUAUCUGUUCUUAUCAGCUUAAUAUCUGAUACAGCACACUUGUGUGUCGAUGAGUUGAUGUGAAUUUUUCACGGGGGUGGCGGGUAGCUCUGAGGCAAACUCAGAGUCCGCCACACGUGUUGCCCUGGAGCUGCACUACAUCAGGAGUUGGCACACCCGAU
rnacentral:snRNA from 1 species